rnacentral:rRNA from 1 species
AGCUCCAAUAGCGUAUAUUAAAGUUGUUGCAGUUAAAAAGCUCGUAGUUGGAUUUCGGGAUGGGCCAGUCGGUCUGCCGUAAGGUAUGUUACUGGCUGGUCUGUCCUUCUUCGCAAAGACUGCGUGUGCCCUUGAUUGUGUGUGCGUAGGAUUUGCGACGUUUACUUUGAAAAAAUUAGAGUGUUCAAAGCAGGCUGACCGCUUGAAUACAUGAGCAUGGAAUAAUGGAAUAGGACUUUGGUUCUAUUUUGUUGGUUUCUUGAACCGAAGUAAUGAUUAAGAGGGACAGUUGGGGGCAUUCGUAUUUCGUUGUCAGAGGUGAAAUUCUUGGAUUUACGAAAGACGAACAACUGCGAAAGCAUUUGCCAAGAAUGUUUUCAUUA